rnacentral:misc_RNA from 1 species
GCCAAGUGAUCUUAACAUCUGUAGGAUGUGCAAUUUUUAGAUAGAGGAUGAUGGGCUUUAGUAUACAGGAGGCCCGGCGAUAAAAGGCCCGUUCAAAACUUUCCGGUGUUGGUUCUGAAUUUUCCGGAAGAUGGGUCAGAUAUUAUGUCCAGAAGGAAUCACAGGCAAAGAAAGACUAACAAACAUCUGUCACCCUCCCAUGCCACAGAAAUGGUCCCAAUCCAUAUAUGAGUUGCUCUUGCUUCUACAGAGUGUG